rnacentral:rRNA from 1 species
GAUCCUGGCUCAGGAUAAACGCUGGCGGCGUGCUUAACACAUGCAAGUCGAGCGAAGCGCUUAAGUUUGAUUCUUCGGAUGAAGACUUUUGUGACUGAGCGGCGGACGGGUGAGUAACGCGUGGGUAACCUGCCUCAUACAGGGGGAUAACAGUUAGAAAUGACUGCUAAUACCGCAUAAGACCACGGUACCGCAUGGUACAGUGGUAAAAACUCCGGUGGUAUGAGAUGGACCCGCGUCUGAUUAGGG